rnacentral:rRNA from 1 species
GUGGGGAAUCUUGCGCAAUGGGCGAAAGCCUGACGCAGCCAUGCCGCGUGAAUGAUGAAGGUCUUAGGAUUGUAAAAUUCUUUCACCGGGGACGAUAAUGACGGUACCCGGAGAAGAAGCUCCGGCUAACUUCGUGCCAGCAGCCGCGGUAAUACGAAGGGGGCUAGCGUUGCUCGGAAUUACUGGGCGUAAAGGGCGCGUAGGCGGACAGCUUAGUCAGAGGUGAAAGCCCAGGGCUCAACCUUGGAAUUGCCUUUGAUACUGGCUGUCUUGAGUUUGGGAGAGGUGAGUGGAGCUCCGAGUGUAGAGGUGAAAUUCGUAGCUAUUCGGAAGAACACCAGUGGCGAAGGCGACUCACUGGCCCAAUACUGACGCUGAGGCGCGAAAGCGUGGGGAGCAAACAGGAUUAGAAACCCGUGUAGUCC